GAACUUCUUACAGGACAUCUUACAAAAAGGUCAUGUUGUGUAAAAUAGGAGAUUGGAAAAAUCCCAUCAAUCCAAGGAAUUUAGCAACAGGCAGUACUCAGAUAAUGUAAGAUCAAAGCUUUUGGUGUUAUCGACCUUCUGCUUCAUAAAAAUCUGGGAAGCAGAUUUAGAUUCUAAUUAUGGCUAUCCCAUAACUAUAAAAACAGCUUUUGUUUAUCAAGCAGCAUUAAAUUAGGACUAGUCUUCUUCUCAAUUUUUUUCUCAGAUUUCAGGGCUUAAAUAUCAGCAGUUAUUUUACUGUCAGUUUAAAAUGAGACUUUAGCUGACCCUUCCC
rnacentral:lncRNA from 1 species